rnacentral:rRNA from 1 species
GACGAACGCUGGCGGCGUGCCUAAUACAUGCAAGUCGAGCGAAUCGUUGGGAGCUUGCUCCCUGAGAUUAGCGGCGGACGGGUGAGUAACACGUGGGUAACCUGCCUGUAAGACUGGGAUAACUUCGGGAAACCGGAGCUAAUACCGGAUACUUUCUUUUCUCGCAUGAGGGAAGAUGGAAAGAUGGUUUCGGCUAUCACUUACAGAUGGACCCGCGGCGCAUUAGCUAGUUGGUGAGGUAACGGCUCACCAAGGCAACGAUGCGUAGCCGACCUGAGAGGGUGAUCGGCCACACUGGGACUGAGACACGGCCCAGACUCCUACGGGAGGCAGCAGUAGGGAAUCUUCCGCAAUGGACGAAAGUCUGACGGAGCAACGCCGCGUGAGCGAAGAAGGCCUUCGGGUCGUAAAGCUCUGUUGUUAGGGAAGAACAAGUACGAGAGUAACUGCUCGUACCUUGACGGUACCUAACCAGAAAGCCACGGCUAACUACGUGCCAGCAGCCGCAGUAACAC